UUGCUUUGGCAGCACAUAUACUAAAAUUGGAAUGAUAAGGAGAAGAUUAGCAUGGCCCUGGUACAAGGAUGACAUAAAAAUUGAUGAAGCAUUCCCUGUUUUU
ensembl:snRNA U6 U6 spliceosomal RNA